rnacentral:tRNA from 1 species
GCGGACGUGGUGAAAUCGGUAUACACAGCAGAUUUAAAAUCUGCCGCUCAUAGAGCUUGCGGGUUCAAGUCCCGCCGUCCGCACCA